UACGUAGGGUGCAAGCGUUAAUCGGAAUUACUGGGCGUAAAGCGCACGCAGGCGGUCUGUCAAGUCGGAUGUGAAAUCCCCGGGCUCAACCUGGGAACUGCAUUCGAAACUGGCAGGCUAGAGUCUUGUAGAGGGGGGUAGAAUUCCAGGUGUAGCGGUGAAAUGCGUAGAGAUCUGGAGGAAUACCGGUGGCGAAGGCGGCCCCCUGGACAAAGACUGACGCUCAGGUGCGAAAGCGUGGGGAGCGAACAGG
rnacentral:rRNA from 1 species